UGGAGCUUGCGGUUUAAUUGGAUUCAACGCCGGAAAUCUUACCGGGACCGACAGCAAUAUGAAGGCCAGGCUGAAGACUUUGCCGGAUUAGCUGAGAGGUGGUGCAUGGCCGUCGUCAGUUCGUACUGUGAAGCAUCCUGUUAAGUCAGGCAACGAGCGAGACCCACGCCCACAGUUGCCAGCGUACUCUCUGGAGUGACGGGUACACUGUGGGGACCGCCGCUGCUAAAGCGGAGGAAGGAAUGGGCAACGGUAGGUCAGUAUGCCCCGAAUAUCCCGGGCUACACGCGAGCUACAAUGGUUGGUACAAUGGGUAUCUACCCCGAAAGGGGACGGGAAUCUCCUAAAACCAAUCUUAGUUCGGAUUGAGGGCUGCAACUCGCCCUCAUGAAGCUGGAAUCCGUAGUAAUCGCGUUUCAACAGAACGCGGUGAAUACGUCCCUGCUCCUU
rnacentral:rRNA from 1 species